CAGAAAACUUACACUGCACACUGUGGACACAAGAUUUCCAUGUUUAAGCUCGGAGGUGGGAACAUCAUGCUGUGGGGAUGCCACUUUGGGAAUGCGGGGACUCUAAACAUAAAGCCAGAGCUACAAUGGGAAAGUUUAGGUCAAAGCAUAUUCAUACACUAAAACGGCCCAGUCAAAGUCCAGUUGAGAAUCUGUGGCCAGAAAAACGCUGUUCAGUUGCUUUCUUUCCACCUUGACUGAUGCUGAGCUCAGUUUUAAACAAUUGCCACAACAAUCAGCCUCCAUGCUGGUAGAUACAUAUUAAAAAAAAAACUUGCACGUGCCACACUUUUCAGAUUUCUAUUAGAAAAAAAAAAGAAAAUGGUGAAACUAUGUUCUUCCAUGUCCAUCUACGAUAACUUAAUCGGUGUUGGUCAGGAUAUACAAGUCUAAUAAAAUACACUUUUUAAGGUGACACGCGUGAUAAAGUCCAGACUCAGCGGUUAUGAAUGCAUGCUCAAGACAUUCUCUUUCUGCAUGUAGAGCUCGUGAUAUGAAAAUGGCUGUGCUAAUCAAACACAUCAUUUGUCUUUAACACCUUCAGCCAUGCACCCUCUCCUUCCUUCCCAGAGUGAAUGAGCUGCAGUCAGUGACCCAAAUCUCGCUGCAAUGAACUGCUUGACUCAGACUGUUGUUUUAUUCAGUGCACUCACUGUCAACAGACCGGCGAGGAGGAGGAGGAGGGCGUCGGGGGCGGGACGUCACGCCGUCGUCCCAUCCCGAUUGGAUCCCCAUCUCAUAACCCCCGUGGCCAUUGGCCGCGCGCGCUGUCCUUCCCGAGAUCUGUCAUCGCCGCCGCUUCCCGCGCCAUUCGGCGUGCACGCGCGUGAGAAGGGACCAGGCACGCAACCGUUAGGAGACUGUCUGGAGUCUGUCUCAAAUUGAUAAAAUUGGAAAUGGAGUUUUACGCGUCUCUGCGCUUCUACGAGGAAGCCGCCUGGUGGGAAAUUGGGAUCUUUGCGCGCCUCCUCAGACGUCUCUUCACCUUGAGUCGCCACGCAUUGACGAAAUGUUUAUUUUCCUUCUUUAGAAAGCAACAACAACAACAAAAAAGAAAGUUUUUUCCCCCCUUUCUGCAGUCCUGCAGCAGACAGCCAGCUCAUUUUGCACAGGGAAUUAUCCCUCAGCCAUGGAGUUCAAGAUGAGUGCAUCGUGCACAAGGCAGCCUGCAAAAGCACAGAAAGCCACUGACAUUGACAGUCACGACUUCAUGUCCGCAACUGGCGAUAGCUGUCAAGAAGAGCCACCGGCGGAAAGUCAGCUGAUCUCAGUCAAGAGAGCUGUGUUGGUGGACUAGGAGGAAGAUGUCACACUAAGGAUGGGGUUUUUUGGCGAUGAUGUUGGUGCUGUUGAUGCAGCAUCGAGCUCUCACUUUGUGCCUCUGUCAGCUAUGAUCCGUAACCAUAAAGUGAGUGACAGGCCAUUCUCCGGGGGGAAAGCAGAGGUCUGAGGGUCACAGGGUGGGUCCUGCCGAACUCCAGCGGGCACUAGGUCACCAACACCUGAAACAGUUCAGGAUCUUUGAAGGAACUUUCUGUCAACAGAAGCUCAGGCUCCUUUCAGAGUCGGCGGAGAAGACUGACCGUCUCGAAGACAGUGCUGGGAGCAGCCCCCGAUCCGCCACAACGCUAGUCGCUGGCCGUUAGACAUGGCGUUCAAAGACUAGUGGUGCAAGUAUGGAAAUGCAGAUAAGGCAUUGUUGGGGAAACAUGCCUGGGAAUUGUUCAAGGCUUUCACUUGCAUAAUGUUUGGAUGCUUUUUUUUUUUUCUUUUUUGCAAAUGUUUUUUUUUUUUUUUUUUUUUUU